AGUCGAGGGGUAUAGUUCUUCGGAGCUAGAGACCGGCGCACGGGUGCGUAACGCGUAUGCAAUCUACCUUUUACAGAGGGAUAGCCCAGAGAAAUUUGGAUUGAUACCUCAUAGUAUUAUAGAGUGGCAUCACUUUAUAAUUAAAGUCACAACGGUAAAAGAUGAGCAUGCGUCCCAUUAGCUAGUUGGUAAGGUAACGGCUUACCAAGGCUACGAUGGGUAGGGGUCCUGAGAGGGAGAUCCCCCACACUGGUACUGAGACACGGACCAGACUCCUACGGGAGGCAGCAGUGAGGAAUAUUGGUCAAUGGGCGCAAGCCUGAACCAGCCAUGCCGCGUGCAGGAUGACGCAUCUAUGGUGUGUAAACUGCUUUUGUACGGGAAGAAACCCUUGCUCGUGAGCAAGAUUGACGGUACCGUAAGAAUAAGGAUCGGCUAACUCCGUGCCAGCAGCCGCGGUAAUACGGAGGAUCCAAGCGUUAUCCGGAAUCAUUGGGUUUAAAGGGUCCGUAGGCGGUUUUAUAAGUCAGUGGUGAAAUCCGGCAGCUCAACUGUCGAACUGCCAUUGAUACUGUAGGACUUGAAUUAUUGUGAAGUAACUAGAAUAUGUAGUGUAGCGGUGAAAUGCUUAGAUAUUACAUGGAAUACCCAUUGCGAAGGCAGGUUACUAACAAUAUAUUGACGCUGAUGGACGAAAGCGU
rnacentral:rRNA from 1 species